rnacentral:rRNA from 1 species
AUGGAGAAGGGCGAGGAGGUGGUGUCGGCAAUGGAGAAGGGCGAGGAGGUGGUGCCGCCCUUGGACGAGGUGCCGCUCACGGACGGGGAUGUGGUGGUGGAGGAGCCCCACAAUGGCAAGUGCCAGAACUAUGGGCACUACCAUGAGGUUGGGCCAACUCACUUCUGCAAGAUGAUCCUUGCCCCGAAGAUGGAGUGCCUGCCUAUGCCCCUGGACUUCACAAAGCACUUCCCCGCCGUGCGGACGGAGUUCAAGCUGAAGACAAACACCGACUGCGGAUGGAGGGUCACUGUCCGGCUGAUGAACGACCGAGUCACCCUCGAUCGGGGUUGGGCCCCCUUCGCCGUCGUCCACCAGAUCAAGAUCCGGUUCAUGGUGACCUUCAAGUUGCUGGUUCCCGACACCCCGAAGCUGACCGUCUUCAACGACGACGUCAUUGAAGUGGUGACCAAGUGUGGGAGGCACGACAACGCCUUCGCCGUGAACGUCUAG